GCCACAGUGGUCUAGCGGUUAGAACGCUGGGCUUGUAAUCCUGGGGUCUCGGGUUCGAUUCCCGGCGGUGCCC
rnacentral:tRNA from 1 species